CAUCCAAACUUCAGAACUGGCGCGACAAAUCUUUAAGGCUUAGCAUCAUCGCUGUGAGGACAUAUCCAUUGCCUCCAAUGCAUGCCUUGGCCAUUUUCUUGCUUCUUGUUCUUCCGUCUUCAUCCUACCUUCUGAAUGGCAUUAAGGGUCUGAACUGAAUUUGAGUCCAAAGCCCUCUGGCCAUCUCUCUCAUCGAUCACAUUUUCAUCAUCAACAUCAUAAUUAAAGCCGGAAUCAUUCAGUGGUCCAUAUAGUCAUAAUAUCGCCUCGGGAAUGCCAAGCUUGCCACUAAGAUAUAGUUGUGUGGGAAUAUCACAUUUGUGUAGAUUUGAAACUGUUUCUGUUUGUGUAAGUGUUAAUGAUCCUGUCAAUGCUAGCAAGGGCUCUAGCAAAAAUGCUUGACUCUCACAUUUUCUUUCCUUUUCUUCUCUCAUUUCUUCCAAUAGAGAUUUACUUGUAUCAAUACCUGAAAGAUAUCCACCAUGCACAUAACCAUUAAAUCUUUCACUAGUAUGUUCACCAGUAAAAAAAAUGUGGCCUACUGGG
rnacentral:misc_RNA from 1 species